GCGUAGUUAACCGAUUUCUUUAUUUAUUAAUAUUAAUUCGCAGAAUAUAUACAAGACGAAUGAACGUGAUUUUCGGUCUAGAGCUGCUCCUGAUCCACAGUGAUGAUCAGGCACAGGUAGCUCGCACGAAUCGGUGAUAAGCAUCGAGCGAGCGAAGCGAGGCGCGAUAAGGCGCGCGAUAACGGGCAGACGAAUAGGAAGGAAGGAGUAUUUGCGGCUCUCGAUGUCAGAGGCUGUCAGUUUUCGCGAUGAACGCGUUGUGGCUGAUUACAUUCCGCGUCCGCCGUGUCACCGAACAAACGGUUUUUCUUUCUAUCUCGCGUUCGUGAGAAUCCACACGGAUACGGAUACGACACGGACAGAAUCGAGAAUGCCGCUGUUCAAAGCGCGGGCGACGCCGAGAUCGCCAAUAACGGAGAAAGCUGCGAACGGCGGCGUGCAGCAUCGCAACCAUCAUCAGCCUGGCAGUGACAAUAAUCAUGACGGCGGUGCGAAUACUAACGGUACCGGCAGCCGGUCGGGCAAUAGCGUUCCUCUUCAACACGAACAGAAGAGACUGUCACCUUUGAAGCCGCCGCCGCUGGUCUUCCACUGUCAGCUGGCCCACGGCAGUCCUACGGGACUGAUAUCAGACUUCAGCAAUGUUCGCGAGCUCUACCAGAAGAUCGCCGAAUGCUACGACUUGCCAGCUGAAGAGAUUCUUUUUUGCACACUUAAUACGCACAAAGUGGAGAUGACGGAGUUACUAGGUGGACAAAUCGGCGUGGGAGAUUUUAUAUUUGCACACAAAAAAGGCCGGCCGAAAGAAAUCGAGCUGGUGAAGACAGACGACGCACUGGGCUUGACGAUCACCGAUAACGGCGCCGGUUACGCUUUCAUAAAGCGCAUAAAGGAGGGUUCCGUGAUCGAUAGGAUAAAAGUAAUCGAGGUGGGCGAUCACAUCGAAAAGAUUGAUUCGACCAGCCUCGUCGGCAGACGUCAUUUCGAAGUGGCGAAGAUGCUGAAGGAUAUACCGAAGAACUCGACGUUCACGUUGAGGCUGGUGGAGCCGCAGAAGAACGGUUUCGGCAGCAUCGGGCCGCGCAGUGAUCUCAGAAAAGGGAAGAAAACCGGCUAUGGUUCCGGCAAAGAGACUCUGAGAUUCAAAGCCGACGGUAGUGCGCGAAUAGAACAAGUUGACGAUGCCGCUGCGAUAGGUGUGGAAAAAAUCAAUAGCAUCUUGGAGAGCUUUAUGGGUAUCUCCGAUACGGAAUUAGCCACACAAAUCUGGGAGCUCGCCGAGGGCAAGUGCAACAGUAUAGAUUUUGCCGAAGCAAUAGACAAUUCCGACUUGGAGGACUUCGGCUUCACCGAUGAGUUUGUGAUCGAGUUGUGGGGCGCCGUGACAGAUGCGAGAGCAGGUCGGCAUCGAUGACGCGAGGACUGAUAACAAAAUGAUUAGCAAUGAUAAUGCACACCGAAAAGAAAUUCCAGGAAGAGAAACAACAUUGAGACCUUUUUAUAUUUAUUUAUGAUCCUGUAAUUUUCUUGUAAGAAUCAAGCAUUCGACGCAUUUAAUGCUAAACGUACAGCGAGAAUGUAGGCUGAAAUCUGCAAUACUCCACAUCUUGUCCUAGAUAGAACUACAAUAACUACUGCAUUGUAUUAUAUGGCAAAUGUAGCAUUGAAUUGAAGAAAGAAAAAUAGAAAUAAAAAAUUUUUGAAGAUUGUGUAUAUUGAAAAUUAAACAGCUUUUAUUUUGCUAAGUGAAGCUAAAAGUGAGUUUUUUCGUUAUUAACAUGAUAAAGAUUGAUAUUUAUUAUUAGUAAAGUAAAAAUUAUUAAAGAUUACAAAAUAAAUUAUUUGUAAAAUAUAAAAAUUUAUUAAAAUAUUGUUAAAGAACAGUGUUUUUUAAAUCACUUUACAAUGUCAAAGCUGAUAAAGAUUAUUCAAUCUACAGAUACAGGCAUUAAAAAUGGGCAUAAUAUUAUUAAAGCGUAAUAUUAUUAAUGUAUCUAAUCAGUUGAUAGAGAAAUGAUAACCAGACUUUAUCGAGUUUCUCAUGGAAUUGCAAUGCAUUAAAGUGAUAUCAAUUUCGAUUUUCCUACAUUAAUAAAACGAUUCUGUUUAUUUAAAUCGUUCUCAACCUACAAAGAGAAACAACUUAAUAUUAGUAAAAGAAUUAAUUAUUCACCGGUUAGCGUAAACAUAUUUGAUGUUAUCAAACUACGUCAUCAUGAUUAUGAAUGUCAACAAUAUUCUACCGCAAUUAGUAUUCAUUAGUAGAGUUACGAAAGAUGUUAGAAGCGAUAAGAACGAAUUAAUAUAUUUUAAUACAUAUAUGUGAACGAAUAGUUUACAAUGUAAGUAUAAGUGCGCGAAAUAUUAUCAUUAAGUAUCGAUGAAUAAAAUCUUUAUAGCAAA
rnacentral:misc_RNA from 1 species